AUANAACUGGAUNUCGGNGGGUNUGCCUCUCGGGNUCGUAGCUAACGCGUNAANUUUCCNCCUGGGGAGUACGGCCGCAAGNUGNAACUCNAAGGAAUUGACGGGGACCCGCACCAGCGGUGGAGCAUGUGGUUUAAUUCGAUGCAACGCGAAGGACCUUACCAAGGCUUGACAUGGACUGGAAAUACCUGGAAACAGGUGCCCCGCUUGCGGUCGGUUUCACAGGUGGUGCAUGGUUGUCGUCAGCUCGUGUCGUGAGAUGUUGGGUUAAGUCCCGCAACGAGCGCAACCCUCGUUCUAUGUUGCCAGCGCGUUAUGGCGGGGACUCAUAGGAGACUGCCGGGGUCAACUCGGAGGAAGGUGGGGACGACGUCAAAUCAUCAUGCCCCUUAUGUCUUGGGCUUCACGCAUGCUACAAUGGCCGGUACAAAGGGUUGCGAUACUGUGAGGUGGAGCUAAUCCCAAAAAGCCGGUCUCAGUUCGGAUUGGGGUCUGCAACUCGACCCCAUGAAGUCGGAGUCGCUAGUAAUCGCAGAUCAGCAACGCUGCGGUGAAUACGUUCCCGGGCCUUGUACACACCGCCCGUCAAGUCACGAAAGUUGGUAACACCCGAAGCCGGUGGCCUAACCCCUUUAUGGGGAGGGAGCUGUCGAAGGUGGGACUGGCGAUUGGGACUAAGUCGUAACANUGUAACCAAGC
rnacentral:rRNA from 1 species